rnacentral:rRNA from 1 species
AUUGAACGCUGGCGGCAUGCCUUANACAUGCAAGUCGAACGGCAGCACGGGAGCAAUCCUGGUGGCGAGUGGCGAACGGGUGAGUAAUAUAUCGGAACGUGCCCAGUCGUGGGGGAUAACGUAGCGAAAGCUACGCUAAUACCGCAUACGAUCUAUGGAUGAAANCGGGGGAUCGCAAGACCUCGCGCGAUUGGAGCGGCCGAUAUCAGAUUAGGUAGUUGGUGAGGUAAAGGCUCACCAAGCCGACGAUCUGUAGCUGGUCUGAGAGGACGACCAGCCACACUGGGACUGAGACACGGCCCAGACUCCUACGGGAGGCAGCAGUGGGGAAUUUUGGACAAUGGGCGCAAGCCUGAUCCAGCAAUGCCGCGUGCAGGAUGAAGGCCUUCGGGUUGUAAACUGCUUUGUACGGAACGAAACGGUGAGCUCUAAUACAGUUUGCUAAUGACGGUACCGUAAGAAUAAGCACCGGCUAACUACGUG